rnacentral:rRNA from 1 species
GCGGACGGGUGAGUAAUGUCUGGGAAACUGCCUGAUGGAGGGGGAUAACUACUGGAAACGGUAGCUAAUACCGCAUAACGUCGCAAGACCAAANAGGGGGACCUUCGGGCCUCUUGCCAUCGGAUGUGCCCAGAUGGGAUUAGCUAGUAGGUGGGGUAAAGGCUCACCUAGGCGACGAUCCCUAGCUGGUCUGAGAGGAUGACCAGCCACACUGGAACUGAGACACGGUCCAGACUCCUACGGGAGGCAGCAUG